CCAACAUAUACGCCAAAAUCCGUUCAUGGGAACGGAUACGGGGGACCCAUCGUUCGGGGCGAAUUCCGGUCGCGACCGGAUAGAGGACUUUCAGCCUCGAGCCCGUCAGCUAACCUCGUCGGCAACUGGAAGGGAUGA
rnacentral:sRNA from 2 species